UACGGGGGGAGCAAGCGUUGUUCGGAUUUACUGGGCGUAAAGGGCGCGUAGGCGGUCGUGACAAGUCACUUGUGAAAUCUCCGGGCUUAACUCGGAACGGUCAAGUGAUACUGUCGGACUAGAGUACAGAAGGGGCAACUGGAAUUCUCGGUGUAGCGGUGAAAUGCGUAGAUAUCAGGAGGAACACCAAUGGCGAAGGCAGCACUCUGGGACGUGACUGACGCUGAGACGCGAAAGCGUGGGGAGCAAACAGG
rnacentral:rRNA from 1 species